rnacentral:rRNA from 1 species
CAGUUCGGAUUGCAGGCUGCAACUCGCCUGUAUGAAGUCGGAAUUGCUAGUAAUCGCGGAUCAGCAUGCCGCGGUGAAUACGUUCCCGGGCCUUGUACACACCGCCCGUCAAGCCAUGGAAGCCGGGAGUGCCUGAAGUACGCGACCGCAAGGAGCGUCCUAAGGUAAAACCGGUGACUGGGGCUAAGUCGUAACAAGGUAUC